AUGCAUUUAGUUCCUAAGAGAUUAGCGUGUGCCUUUCUAUAAUGCCUGAACUCUGCUGGAUGAGCUGCAGAAGGGCUGGCAGCAGGCUGGGGUGUGGAUUGGAAAAACUCAACCGACACAGGUCUGCAAGGCCUGCGUGGCUGCUUCUGCAUCCCACACCUGAAGACAGGAUGGCUGCACUGCUGGGCCAAGGGUGGUCUUCAAAAAAGCUCAGCACAUCACUGUGCCUAAGAUUUUUCAGAAUAACCGGAUUCAGGACCUCCAUCUGGAUGUGCUGUGUCCCUUCAGGUUGCCUCUGGGGAAUGCCUCAGAGGGGCUGUGCAAGGCGGUGCAUGAAGGAGGGCUUUGACAGCUGGGGCUGAAGGAACCUCUUCUGGAGAGCUGUGAGAGCUCUCAGAGAAUGAAAUUUUGGAGAAGGCAUAAACUAAAUGAAAUCCCUUUCCUGUCACCUUUCUUCCUCCUUUUGUGUCUAUUCGGAUUUUGACUUAAGAUCCUCUCUGACUUUUCCCCUUACAAUUACAUGUGGUCAGCAGUCAGAACAGAAAGCAAACAAACAGAAAACAGCAACAAAACAAAAAACACCACAAAAGAGCCAGCCAUUAAAAUGGACAGAAAACUUUCAACUAAGAUGCCUUACCAUGAGAAUUCUUAUUUUCAAAAGAAUUUUUGCGCAGCUUAGAAAACAGCAGCCAUGAUUUGGCACUUCCCUUAGCUGCCAGAGCAACCGAUACAAUUAGACAUCUAGUCAGAUUUACCAGGAAGAACCAACUGGUGAGCUAAAGAACAAGAACACAACCAAGACCAUGUCUGAAUAAAUUUCCAGUCAUAUGUACAUAGGCCACUUAUUGAGAAAGAUAGGAAAAGAAAAACUAAAUUUUCAUAAUCCUGAUUACAUGCAGAGGAUUGACCCAGAUGCAUGAUUUUAGCUGUAUUUAUUAUAUUUAAAUAAAAUGUAUGCCUUCACAUGUGUUUAC
rnacentral:lncRNA from 7 species